rnacentral:tRNA from 1 species
AGGGCGUGGCUGUGGAGCUAUGCGGGGCUUCUAACCUUGUGACGAGGGUUCGAUUCCCUUCACGUCUUG